AUUAAAAGCCAUAAAACAUGAGUAAAAAUAACAACCAUAAAAUAAAAAGCAAUAAGACAAAAUCAAAUAAAUGAAUGAAGUCAAUGUCUUAAUAGGUGUCAAAGGCCAAGGAGAGAGAGAUUUAAAAACAAACAGA